AGCAGCCGCGGUAAUUCCAGCUCCAAUAGCGUAUAUUAAAGUUGUUGCAGUUGAAAAGCUCGUAGUUGAAAUUCGAAAUUUGUCCUAUGGUCGGGCUUUACGGUCCGUACAGUAGUGGCGAAUUUCUACCUUCUGAAGAACCUUCAUGUCAUUAAUUUGGUGAGUUGGGAAAUCAGGACUGUUACUUUGAAAAAAUUAGAGUGUUUAAAGCAGGCUUAAGUCUGAAUACAUUAGCAUGGAAUAAUGAAAUAGGACGGAUUGGUUCUAUUUUGUUGGUUUCUAGGAUCACCGUAAUGAUUAAUAGGGAUAGCUGGGGGCAUUAGUAUUCAAUUGUCAGAGGUGAAAUUCUUGGAUUUAUUGAAGACUAACUUCUGCGAAAGCAUUUGCCAAGGAUGUUUUCAUUAAUCAAGAAUGAAAGUUAGGGGAUCGAAGACGAUCAGAUACCGUCGUAGUCUUAACCAUAAACUAUGCCGACUAGGGAUCGGACGAAGUUAAUUUUUAGAUGACUCG
rnacentral:rRNA from 1 species